rnacentral:lncRNA from 1 species
UUUAUUUGAUGCCUUGCUCUUUAAGAUAAUAUAAUUAUGCAUUUGUGUGUUGCUUGAUUCGAAAAGUCCAAGGGAAUUCUGGGUUUCUAUUGACAUUCUUGUCUAUUGGAUUGCUACCCAUUUGGUCAGAUCUUUUCAACUCUAAACUUUUAAUUUUGUACAUAGUAUAGUCUCUCCACCUUCUCCUCAUUUCUUUAAUUUAAAAAUCUCUC